rnacentral:rRNA from 1 species
UUGCUGGAACGCGCUUCGGCGCACCCAGAAACCCUUUGUGAACUUAUACCUACUGUUGCCUCGGCGUUAGGCCGGCCUUUUGUGACAAAGGCCCCCUGGAAACAGGGAGCAGCCCGCCGGCGGCCAACUAAACUCUUGUUUCUAUAGUGAAUCUCUGAGUAAAAACAUAAAUGAAUCAAAACUUUCAACAACGGAUCUCUUGGUUCUGGCAUCGAUGAAGAACGCAGCGAAAUGCGAUAAGUAAUGUGAAUUGCAGAAUUCAGUGAAUCAUCGAAUCUUUGAACGCACAUUGCGCCCUCUGGUAUUCCGGAGGGCAUGCCUGUUCGAGCGUCAUUUCAACCCUCAAGCCUGGCUUGGUGAUGGGGCACUGCUCUCUAGCGGGAGCAGGCCCUGAAAUCUAGUGGCGAGCUCGCCAGGACCCCGAGCGUAGUAGUUACAUCUCGUUCUGGAAGGCCCUGGCGGUGCCCUGCCGUUAAACCCCCAACUUCUGAAAA